GUCAAACUACUAAGAGAGUAAGAUGGAUACCUUGGUACUAGGAGGCGAAGAAGGACGUGGUAGGCUGCGAUAAGCCUCGGGGAGCCGUCAAACAGGCUUUGAGCCGGGGAUUUCCGAAUGGAGCAAUCCAGUACGGAUAAUGCCGUACUACUUACAUCUGAAUCCAUAGGAUGUAAGAGCGAACCAGGGGAACUGAAACAUCUUAGUACCCUGAGGAAAAGAAAGAAAAUUCGAUUCCCCCAGUAGCGGCGAGCGAAAAGGGAAGAGCCUAAACUGUAUAGGUGUCAAGCCUGUAGGUGUUGCCUAUGCAGGGUUGUAGGUUUGGUGAGUGCUAAUAUCUACAGUGAGGCGGAUGGAAUUUAUCUUCUAGAGGAAUGGUACUGGAAAGGCUAGCCAGAGAAGGUAAUAGCCCUGUACUCGAAAGAAGGUGAAUUUCGUCUUCAUCAGACCUGAGUACCAUCGGACACGAGAAAUCCGGUGGGAAUCUGGGAGGAUCACCUCCUAAGGCUAAAUACUACCUAGUGACCGAUAGUGAACAAGUACCGUGAGGGAAAGGUGAAAAGAACCCCGGGAGGGGAGUGAAAUAGAACUUGAAAUCUUACUCUUACAAGCAGUGGGAGCACUUCGGUGUGACCACGUACCUUUUGCAUAAUGGGCCGGUGAGUUACUUAAAGUAGCAAGGUUAAGGGAGAAAAACUUCCGGAGCCGUAGCGAAAGCGAGUCCUAAUAGGGCGCCAAGUUGCUUUAAGUAGACCCGAAACCAGGUGAUCUACCCAAGGCCAGGGUGAAGUACAUUUAACCAUGUACGGAGGCCCGAACGCACUGACGUUGAAAAGUCAGGCGAUGAGCUUUGGGUCGGAGUGAAAGGCUAAUCAAACCUGGCGAUAGCUGGUUCUCCCCGAAAUAGCUUUAGGGCUAGCCUUGCGUUUGGAUAGCGGGGGUAGAGCACUGAAUGAUAAAGGAGCCUUCGGGCUUCUUUACUCAAUCAAACUCCGAAUACCGCUAUAUCCUUAGCGCAGGAGUCAGACUGUGGGGGAUAAGCCCCAUAGUCGAGAGGGAAAGAGCCCAGACCGUCGGUUAAGGUCUCCAAUGCAGGCUAAGUGGGAAAGGAUGUGAGAUUACUUAGAUAGCCAGGAGGUUGGCUCAGAGGCAGCCAUCCUUUAAAGAGUGCGUAAAAGCUCACUGGGUUAGUGAUCUUGCUCCGAAAAUUUAACGAGGCUCAAGUCUGCUACCGAAACCACGGGAGUAAAGUUUUUUGCAGAUAGUGAGUGGUUGUUGGUUUUACCGACGGCUACUCAUUAAUAGCUGCAAAGCAAAGCUUUGCUCGGUAGGGGAGCAUUCUACAUUAGGUUGAAGGGGAACCGAAAGGUACCUGGACGAAGUAGAAGAGAUGAUGCCGGCAUGAGUAACGAAACAAGGAAGAGUAACCCUUGCGCCGAAAGCCUAAGGUUUCCUGGGGAAGGCUAAUCCGCCCAGGGUAAGUCGGUCCUAAGCCGAGGCAUAUUGCGUAGGCGAUGGGCAGCCGGGUAGAAAAUUCCGGCACCACCUGGAUAGUGCUAAGUGAAGGGGUGACAUGGAGAGGUAGGCCUGCAUGGGAUUGAUUGUCCAUGUCCAAGCAGUUGAGGAGAUCGCUCAGGUAAAUCCAAGCGAUCGUUAAUCCCAAGCUGUGAUGGGGACCUCUUUUUAAUGAGGGAAGUGGUUGAUCCUUUCCAUCAAGAAAAACCUCUAAGCGAUAUAUUCAGGUGUCCGUACCGCAAACUGACACAGGUAGGCUGGCUGAGAAUGCUAAGGCGCUCGAGCGAACCCUCGUUAAGGAACUCGGCAAAUUAGCCCCGUAACUUCGGGAGAAGGGGUGCCCCAUUAGCGUUGUAUCAGAUUGCUUGCAAUCUGAGAAGCGCGAAGGGGUUGCAACAAAGAGGCCCAAGCGACUGUUUACUAAAAACACAGGUCUCUGCUAACUCGAAAGAGGAUGUAUAGGGACUGAAGUCUGAUCAGUGCUGGAAGGUUAAGGGGAGGACUGCAAGGUCCAAACCGAAGCCCCAGUUAACAUCGGCUCUAACUAUAAGAGUCCUAAGGUAGCGAAAUUCCUUGUCGGGUAAGUUCCGACCCGCAUGAAUGACGUAACGACUUGGGCACUGUCUCAACGAGGGACUCGGUGAAAUUGUAUUAUCGGUGAAGAUACCGAUUAUCCGCGGCAGGACGGAAAGACCCCGGGACCUUUACUGCAGUCUGGCAUUGGGUCUUGACGUAAUCUAUAUAGCAUAGGUGGGAGGCUGAGAAGGGAAGGCGCUAGCUUUCCUGGAGCCGUCAGUGGAAUACCACCUUUGUUACGUUUAGGUUCUAACCCGCAUCCGUUAUCCGGAUGGGGGACAGUGCUUGAUGGGCAGUUUGACUGGGGCGGUUGCCUCCUAAAAAGUAACGGAGGCGUCCAAAGGUUCCCUCAGCGCGUAUAGAAAUCGCGUUAAGAGUAUAAAGGCAUAAGGGAGCUUAACUGCGAGAGAGACAUCUCGAGCAGAUGCGAAAGCAGGGCUUAGUGAUCCGGCGAUUCUGAGUGAGAGGGUCGUCGCUCAACGGCUAAAAGGUACCCCGGGGAUAACAGGCUUAUCUCCUCCGAGAGUUCCCAUCGACGAGGAGGUUUGGCACCUCGAUGUCGGCUCGUCGCAUCCUGGGGCGGUAGCCCGUCCCAAGGGUUAGUCUGUUCGCCUAUUAAAGCGGCACGCGAGCUGGGUUUAGACCGUCGUAAGACAGGUCGGUCCUUAUCCGCCGUGGACGUAAGAGAUUUGAGGGGAGCUGUCCCUAGUACGAGAGGACCGGGAUGGACAGACCUCUGGUGUACCAGUUGUCACGUCAGUGGCAUCGCUGGGUAGCUAUGUCUGGACGGGAUAACCGCUGAAAGCAUCUAAGCGGGAAGCCCCCCCCAAGACUAGAUCUCUCACUCACGCAAGUGAGGUAAGGCUCCUGGCAGACUACCAGGUUGAUAGGCCAGUGGUGUAAGCACGGUAACGUGUUCAGCCUACUGGUACUAAUAAGCCGAGGGUUUGACUUU
rnacentral:rRNA from 1 species